UCGGAACGAUUCCAACUUUACUCAUUAGGGUUUAUCGAUCAUCGAAAUAAUCCCUGUGAGUCUCACCAUCCACCAGUGACACCUUGCAGCAUGUAGUGGCUAUCCAGCAGAAUGGAAUGAUGAACCUGUAGGUGCAGUUAUCGUGUGAUACAGUCCUACUAUCGUGGAUCCCUACAGGAUGGAGGUCAUGGACAACUCGUCAAACUCCAUCGUCUGUUAUAUGUUAAGAUUCAUUCGAUUUAAGCUCGAGAGUGGAAAACUCUUUCUCCACUAUACAAUCUGCCCCGGCCGAGGUCUUACGAACUCAGUCUUAUAAAUCACAUAGGAUCUCUUCUUAUCUAUCAAGGUCGAUAGAUUCCUUAUAGGUGCAUACCCUACUCCUACAGUGAACCUACUGCAGCCAAUCUACACUGCAUGGACCCAUAUUGCUAGAGACCAUGUAUAUGUGCAGUCAAACUACAAUAAUCUUACUGUGAGUAGCCGAAGCAUCGUAGGUCAAAGGACCAGUCACACUACUGCAACAUCAAGCAAGUCACUGACGAGUGGAUAGACAUCCAAGUGACUUCUUGUUUUGGUCACACUUAGUACCCUUGUUCUUAACAAGUACCUGCACUAUUACUUCAGUAUCGCCACACUGUGGACUCGAGUCUCAUCCAUCCAUAAGGAAAGCAAUGUGUGCACUGAUCGGAUCGAUCACCGUCCUCGUGAUGAUCCAUUGAUCAGGAGCAUUCAGAAAUUAAUCACCAAUGAUGUAUGGCUCAAAUUCUUAACUCUUAAGAAUAUGCAUCAUGAUCUUAUUAAUUCUUGGACGAUUCGUAGACACAUAAAUAAUAUGAAUAAAAAGAUGCCUUUUAUUUAUUCAAUAAUAAAUAGUCAAGUACAAAAUUAUGUCCCUAGAAUUAACAAUAUGUCAGCCAGAUUGGCUUCUAGGACAUACAUCUAACAAUCUCCCACUUGCACUAAAGCCAAUUGGUCAUAUAUCUUAGUCCCAUCUUCUGAAGGUGGGCUUCAGUCUUUUGCUGACUCAGCUGCUUAGUGAAUGGGUCUGCCAUGUUGUCCGUGGAGUCUACUCUCUGCACCUCGACAUGCUUCUUNNNNNNNNNNNNNNNNNNNNNNNNNNNNNNNNNNNNNNNNNNNNNNNNNNNNNNNNNNNNNNNNNNNNNNNNNNNNNNNNNNNNNNNNNNNNNNNNNNNNNNNNNNNNNNNNNNNNNNNNNNNNNNNNNNNNNNNNNNNNNNNNNNNNNNNNNNNNNNNNNNNNNNNNNNNNNNNNNNNNNNNNNNNNNNNNNNNNNNNNNNNNNNNNNNNNNNNNNNNNNNNNNNNNNNNNNNNNNNNNNNNNNNNNNNNNNNNNNNNNNNNNNNNNNNNNNNNNNNNNNNNNNNNNNNNNNNNNNCCUAUCAUCGACGUCAGUCAUGAAGUCUGAAUCUGUGUACCCUUCUACCUUUAACUCUGAUGAUCCUCCAAAGACCAAGAAUAAAUCUUUAGUUCUUUCUAAGUACUUAAGAAUAUUCUUCACAGCUGUCCAGUGUUCUUCACCUGGAUUCGACUGAUAUCUGCUAGUGACACUCACAGCAAGAGCUAUAUUAGGUCCUGUACACAGCAUGGCAUACAUGAGGCUCCCUAUUGCCGAUGCAUAAGGGAUCUUGCUCAUGCGUUGAAUCUCUUCAGAUGUGUUGGGGCACAUCUUCUUGGAGAGAUGAAUUCCAUACCUUAGGGGUAAGAGACCCUUUUUAGAGUUUUCCAUGCUGUACCUUUUCAGCACUUCCUCUAUGUACAUCUUCUGUGAUAGGCCAAGCAUCCUUUUAGAUCUAUCUCUAUAGACCUUUAUCCCCAAAAUAUAGGAUGCUUCCCCAAGGUCUUUCAUGGAGAAUUCUUUUGACAACCAGACCUUGACCGAGGUUAGCAUGGGAAUAUCAUUUCCUAUCAGGAGGAUGUCGUCCACGUACAGUACGAGGAAUACGAUAGCACUCCCACUAACCUUCUUAUAGACACACGGUUUCUCUUCAUUCUUGAUGAAAUCAAACAUUUUGAUUGCAUCAUUGAAACAAGUAUUCCAACUCCGAGAUGCUUGCUUUAGUCCAUAAAUGGACCUUUGCAGCUUGCAGACCUUGUGAUCUCCAUCACUGGACGUGAAACCCAAAGGUUGCUCCAUAUAGAUAUCUUCAUCAAGAUAUCCAUUCAGAAAAGCUAUUUUUACAUCCAUCUGCCAAAUUUCAUAAUCAUGAAAUGCUGCUAUGGCAAGUAAUGUUCGGAUGGAUUUCAGCAUGGUUACAGGUGAAAAGGUCUCCUGAUAGUCAAUGCCUUCGCGUUGACUAUACCCUUUCGCUACUAGCCUUGCCUUAUAGGUCUCUACCUUUCCAUCCGAACCUAUCUUUCUUUUGUAGAUCCAUUUGCAUCCAAUAGGUACAAUACCUUCUGGUGGAUCCAUUAAAGUCCAGACUUGGUUGGAAUGCAUGGAGUCUAACUCUGACUUCAUAGCUUCCAACCAUUUCUCGGAAUCGAUAUCUGAUAUCGCCUCGUUGUAGGUUUUGGGAUCCUCUAUGUGUUCCCUAUCUCCCAUGAGGAACAUUUUCUUAGUAUCCUCUUCAAGCAUACCUAAGUAUCUAUCAGGAGGAUGGGAGACCCUACUAGAUAUGUGAGGUGGAGGAACAACGUGUACUGGCUUUGUAUGAAUGGGUUCUAUAGGAUUCAUGACUCGUUGCUUUUCAGAGACUUUCUCUUCAAGCUCAAUUUUCCUCCCACUACCUCUAUCAAGGAUAAACUGUUUUUCCAAGAAGAUGGCAUGUCGGCUCACAAAAAUAUUGUGAUCCUUUGAGACGAAAAAAUUGUAUCCUAAUGACUCUUUAGGAUAUCCUAAAAAACGAGCACUUAUGGUCCUAGCCUCUAGCUUGUCUGCCUGUAGUCGUUUGACAUGGGCCGGACAUCCCCAAUUCUUGAGAUGGCCAAGACUUGGUUUCUUACCAUGCCAUAUCUCAUACGGUGUGGUAGGAACGGAUUUAGAGAAAACUCUAUUCAGUAGAUAUACUGCGGUAAGUAAGGCAUCUCCCCAAAGAAACAUAGGUAAAUCAGUGAAGCUCAUCAUGGAUCGGACCAUAUCCAAUAGAGUCUGAUUUCUCCUUUCUCACACCCCGUUGAGUUGAGGUGUACCCAGAGGAGUCCAUUGUGAGACUAUUGCAUUCUCCUUGAGAUAAUCCCGGAAUUCCCCACUAAGGUAUUCUCCUCCUCGAUCUGAUCGAAGAGCCUUAAGAGAUUUUCCAGUUUGUUUUUCUACUACAUUUCUGAACUCUUUGAACUUUUCAAAAGAUUCAGAUUUGUGUCUCAUAAGAUACACAUACCCAUACUGUGAAUAAUCAUCGGUAAAGGUAAUGAAGUACGAAUAACGACCUCUGGCUUUCACAUCGAAUGGGGCACACACAUCUGUGUGUACCAGGGUAAGUAUUUCAGUGGUCCUCUCCCCAUAUCCUACAAAAGGUAAUCUAGCCAUUUUUUGUUGAAGACAGUACUCACAAACUGGAUAUGACUCGGAAGUCAAUGAGCCGAGAAGCCCAUCUUUAUCUAUUUUGUUCAUUCUGUCCUCUCCAAUAUGGCCAAGCCUGAGGUGCCACAAAUAUUUUUGGUUUAUCUCAUCCCUGGAUCUCUUGGAUCCUUUGGCACUCACUUCUUGCUCAGACACAUUUACAGAUACAUCCAUAUGUAAAUGAUAGAGACUAUCAAUCAUAAAACCACGUGCUUCUAUUUUAUUUCUGAAAUAAAUAGAACAGCAGUCUUUGUCAAAUGUAAAAAUAUGACCUUCCUGUGCUAGACAUGAAACAGAAAUCGAAUUUCUGCUAGCGACAGGUACAUAAUAACAGUCUCUAAAUAAUAAACUAAAACCAGACGGUAAUCACAGAGGGUAGGUGCCCACAGCCACAGCAGCAACUUUUACCCCGUUGCCAACCCGAAGGGUUACCGCACCUUUCGCCGGCCUUCUACUUUUCUUUAGACCCUGUAUGGUAGUGCACAAAUGAGCACUAGAACCAGAAUCUAUAAUCCAACUCGAAGUAGAGGAAACCGUAAGGUUAGUUUCAAUCACAAGCAAGUCUAACAUACCUUCUGAAGGUGUGUCUGCCUUCUUGUUCUUCAGGCUCUCGAAAGGGAUUGAAGGAUCAAAUCUACUUGCAAUUUCUUGUGCAUGUUCAUACUGAGCUUCUCAAGCUCCUCUAGGUCCUUGAUCAUAGUCAGACCGUGAUUAUGGACAGACUGCCUCUCGCGCAUCUUUGCCUUGAAGAGUCUCUUGGAUACUUCAAAACGAGUUGUGCGACUCUGCUCACCAUAUAACUCUUGUAGGUGUGUCAGUAUAUCCCUAGCAGUCUUCAUAUUCUCAUGCUGGCAUUGGAGUUCAUUGGAUGUGGAUGCCAUGAUGUAGCACUUGACCCUAAUGUCAUCGUCUGUCCACUUUUCAUGCUUCGCACGCUGAUCAGUGGUCGGACGUGCUGGUAAUGUGGGGAUAUCAUUGUCGAGCACAUAGCCUAUUUUUUCGCAACUCAGAACAAUUUUGAGAUUUCUAAGCCAGUCUCUAUAAUUAGUACCGGUCAGUCUGUUGGUCUCAAGAAUAUGGGUCAAAGGGUUUGAGGCUGACAUUAUGAUGUGCAGAGAGUAAAGAUUCUAGUUAGACUUUUGUACUUGAUCCUAAUUUGUUCUAGGAUCUUUUAGAACAAGUGUACCUCCCACUAUUUUCUCGAAUUCCUCACACUCUCCUGGUAGGAAAACGGAAAUCCUACACGACUAGGGUUUCUAGUGGGUACUACGGUCCCACCGAUUUACAUGCCACCUCACCUAACAGUUAUUGGUGAUACAUGAAUGGAUAAGUGUACAACUCUUGUACAAUGCUUCUCAAGCAUGUUGCAGUGCUCCUUGGUCUCUAAGUCAUGAAGACCUCACCUAACAGUUAUUGGUCCCAUUCCUUAGUUAAGUCAGACCCACCGUAUAACCGUAGGAAUAAAGUCGUCAUUGGAUCCUCACUUAACAGUUAUUGGUCCCCAACCCCACCUUUACCCCUACAACAUCUCAUGUCUAUAGAGAGGUCCAGCCCCCCGAUGCAACUUGCCCACUGUGUCCAGCCGAGACAAGUCAACAUCAGAAAGACCUUAGCAGCUCUACUACGGUGGAAGACCUAUGGACUUAAUAUUGGUUAAUCAUGUCUUAGUGUUUGCAACUUGAGCUCUUCAUAAGAGGUAAUCGAACAAUUGGUCAGGUAAGCAGGUGGGAGGCUUUCCUUACUCAGAGAGUAGGGUCCUAAUUAAGUAACCACCUUUCAUGCUUUUCUAGACACCAAUUAGAUCAAUUAAUCUAAUAUGACUCGCUCAUGUUGGUUCAUUCUCGACUUGAUUGAGGAGGUUUUAGUUUAGGUCUCAUUUGGAUUGGUCUAUUAGUUUGCAUCACAUGUAAACCUAUCUACCCCGCUCACAUUCGCAUCAUAUGCAAAUAGCACAUCACAGGCAGUUAUAAUUGCAGCAAUAAAUAAAACUAAACUUUAAAUAGGUGAUGAUCAUGGAUUCUAAUUAGGUCAUAUUACAAGCACAUGCACGUCAAUCGAUUAACUGGUCUUCAACUCUUGAAUUGGUCCCGAGCCUUCUUCAUUCGAUCCCUGAUCAACUCUUGAUCCAAUCGCCAUCAACCGCUCACAUUCGCCGUUCAUCUCAUGUACUAUCUUUGACUUGAUCGUUGACGUACAUCACAUCACAGAAAUACAACCAGAUAUAUAAUAAUAAAUUACAUCCCCUUUUAGGAGGCACGCAGGCCUCUCAAAAUAUCAAAUAAGAUGCAUGCAAACAUCUAAAAAAUUAGCAGAUCACAUCGCAGGUCUUUACAAUUUAUAUCAAAAGGGUUUGAAUCCAAUGAUCAUCACCACAUGCAACAAUUAUAAUUUUCAGAUCUGAAAUCUAAUUGAUCAUCUUAUGACAUGGGUUGCUGAUCAUGCUAAACAUGAUUCUAAACUUUGUAAUCCCAUUAACAAUGCAAUUAGAAUUAUCAAUUUAUUACAUAAAAAUCAGCAUGCAAAAAUCAGCAAUCCUGAAAAAUUCUGCAUGCAGAAAAUUUCAGCACACAUAACCUUUUAAAUUUCAGAUCUAACAUGCCUGUUUAUAAUUAAUUCUAACCUUAAUCUACGAAGCCUAAGCUCUGAUACCACUGUUGGGAACCCUCCCAUGCCGUAGAAAAUUAAAAAAAUUUCAGAUGCAGCAGAUGAGGCAUGCACGGGAUCGACGUUCAUCCUAUGAACGUUGAAAUCAUUCGUAGAUAGAUUAGAAUUAAAAACUUUUAAACUAAUUAUGAAGAUCAGAUCUUCACCUUGUGCGGAUAGAUGAUCACCGCAAACUGAUGAUCGUGGUUUUGAAAGAAGGCUCGCUUGAAGCCGCACACGCGUCCGGCCUCUACGGGUAUCCACACGAAGCAGAGGACCGAUCAAAGCUUCCUUGUCUCCCCGGGGUGCUAGCUCCCUUGCAGAGACUACUUUAGAUGGUUGAUUUCCUCCCUUUCUUUCAACUCUUGAAUGUGCUUGGGAGGAGGAAGAAGAAGGAGGGAUCUUGAAGAAGAACCAAAGCACUUUGCAGCCCUUUUCUUUUCCUUGCGUUGGAUGAAGCAAAGGAGGAGGGAGGAGGCCGCCAAGCUUCUUUCUUUUCCUCUUCUUGCUUGCAGCUGAACCAAGGAAAGGGGAGAGGGAGGCGUACGGCCACAAGGAGGAGGACUUCUAUUAAAUGCCCUAGGUGCUUCCCAUACCCCUUUAUAAAGCAAGUGGAGCUCCUAACUUUUAGGAGCUCCAUGAUUGAUUUCCAAGAGGGGCGCCGGCCCCUCUUGUCUUGCCGCACCAAAGAAGAGAAGGAGGAGGGGGUGUACGGCCCUCCUCUUAGUUAGCCCUAGUUCUCCUCCAAGGAGGAUUAGGGGGCCUCCUAAUGGCUAAGUCCUAAUCUAAUUAGGCUUAGUCUAAGGGUGAACCAAUUGGGUUUAAUCUAGGUAAGUCCUAAUCCAAUUAGAACUCAAUGAAUCAUGACUCAAUUGAAACCUUCAAUCCUAAUCUAAUUAGAAGUCAUCUAGAUUCAUUAGAUUAAUAAUUAAUUUGGGACUUAAGAAAUCCUAAUCCAAUUAGGACUUAUUUAAUUUUAGUCCUAAUCCAAUUAGGACUCUGAUUUGAAUCCGAAGUCCUAAUCCAAUUAGGACUUCUAGGAAUCCUAUUCUAAGUAGGAAUCCAAAUUGAAUUCAAAAUCCUAAUCCAAUUAGGAUUGUAGGAAUCCUACUCCAAGUAGGACUCCCAGUUCUAAUCCAAUUAGGACUUUAGGAAUCCUACUCUAUGUAGGAUUUGUUUUUAAAGUCCAAUUAAUCAAUUCCCAUUGUUCCUUCUUCUACUGAUUAUCAAUCGAAUUGAUUACUCGUGAUUCAUAAUCACUUUUCAACCAUCGGAUUGGUCAAUACCUCUAGUGUGUAUGACCCCAUAGGUUCUAUUCUGACUGGUAGUGAGAUAUAUUGUGAUCUCUAUUACAAUAUCAUUAAAAACUCCUUUCAAUGGGUUGGAACAGUUCCAACUUAACUCAUUAGGAUUUAUCGAUCAUCAAGAUAUUCCCUAUGAGUCUCACCAUCCACCAGUGACACCUAGUAGCAUGUAGUGGCUAUCCAGCAGAAUGGAAUGAUGAACCUCUAGGUACAGUUAUCGUAUGAUACAGUCCUACUAUCGUAGAUCCCUACAGGACGGAGGUCAAGGACAACUCAUCAAACCCCAUCGUCUGCCAUAUGUCAAGAUUUAUUCGACUUAAGUUCGAGAGUGGAAAAGUCUUUCUCCACUAUGCAUACUGCCCCGGCCGAGGUCUUACGAACUCAGUCUUAUAAAUCACAUAGGAUCUCUCCUUAUCCACCAAGAUCGAUAGAUUCCAUAUAGGUGCAUACCUUACUCCUACAGUGAACCUACUGCAGCCAAUCUACACUGCAUUGACCCAUAUGUCUAGAGACCAUGUAUGCGUGCAGUCAAACUACAAUAACCUCACUGUGAGUAGCCGAAGCACCGCAGGUCAAAGGACCAGUCACACUACUGCAACAUCAAGCAAGUCACUGACGAGUAGAUAGACAUCCAAGUGACUUCUUAUCUUGGUCACGCUCAGUACCCUUAUUUUUUAACAAGCACCUGCACUAUUACUUCAGUGUCGUCACACCGUGGACUAGAGUCUCGUCCAUCCACAAGGAAAGCAAUGUGUGCACGGAUCUCAUCGGAUCGAUCACCGUCCUCGUGAUGAUCCAUUGAUCAGAAGCAUUUUAGAAAUUAAUCACCAAUGAUGCAUGGCUCAAAUUCUUAACUCUUAAGAAUAUGCAUCAUCAUCUUAUUAAUUCUUGGACGAUUUAUAGACACAUAAACAAUAUGAAUGAAAAAAUACCUUUUAUUUAUUCAAUAAUAAAUAGUCAAAUACAAAAUUAUGUCCUAGAAUUAACAAUGUGUCAGCCAGAUUGACUUCUACGGCAUACAUCUAACAACCUUUUACACCGACGACCCCUUUCCCUCAAUGUCUGAAUGCACCUUCUCCCUUUGGCAUGAAAGGAACUUCGUUGGAAGAAAUAAUGGAGGUUUUUAAACAAGUCAAAAUCAACCUCCCUCUCCUUGAUGCCAUAAAACAAGUACCAUCCUAUGCCAAAUUUCUCAAAGACCUUUGUACCUAAAAAUGAAAAUCUAGGACACAUGUGCCUAAAAAGGUCUUUUUAACUGAACAAGUGAGCUCCAUCCUUCAGCACAAAAUUCCUCCUAAAUUCAAAGAUCAUGGUGCUCCCACCAUCCUUGUAUCGUAGGAGAUAAUCUUAUUGAUCAGGCACUCUUAGAUUUAGGAGCCAGUGUUAAUAUUCUUCCUUACUUAGUUUAUGAGAAAUUUGGACUAGGUGAAUUGAAGCUUACUUCGGUGUCCCUACAAUUGACUAAUAGAUCUGUAAAAAUACCACGAGGAACAAUUGAAGACGUCCUAGUCAAGGUAGAUAAAUUUUAUUUUUCAGUCGAUUUUAUCGUUUUUGAUAUGGAACCUGUGCCUAAUCUUAAGAAACAGAUCCCUAUGAUUCUAGAUCGUCCCUUUUUAGCGACAGCCAAUGCGAGUAUAAAUUGUAGAACUGGGGUGAUGAAUAUAUCUUUUGGAAAUAUGAAGGUCAAGUUAAAUAUAUUUCGUGCCUCUGAUCAACCCGCAAAGGAAGUUGAGUGCUUCCUAAUAGACAAAAUGGACGAUCUUGUAGAAAAAACUCUUUCCUAUAUUUUGAUAAGUGCUAAAUAAUGCAUAAACUAAUAUCUUAUUCAUAGCACUUAUCAUUAUUUUAAUUCAAAUAUUUUGUAAAUUCAACUAAAAAAUUGUGUUACCUUCACCAUUGCAUUUUAAUAAAUUAUUAAAGGUAAUUCAAGUUUUACUUAUUUACUGAUUGAGUCUAAUGUAUGCAGGUUGAGUCAAGUUCAUUAGGGAUUAUUCCUGGACCUAAACCACAUGCACCCCGCAAAUCAAGACCCUCUGAUUCAGUCACCUAAUUUUCUUUCCAUAUGAUCCAAUUCUCCUAUUUUAAUCUCAAAAACAAUAUAAUCCCUUCAAUUAUUUGUCUCUUAGAUCUCAAAGCAUAUCAUCAUAUUUGCAUGAAUCCCAAAGCUCCAUCCACUCCUCCACUUUUCUCUACCAAACAACCCGCUCUCAUCCUAGCUUCGAACUUCAUCCUCCCGAAUCCAAAACUUCAUCAUCUCCCAACCGUAUCACUCUUAUCGUCUCCACGUUCCAACGCCUCCCCAUCGUAUCUUCAUCACGAGUUCAUCUUCCCAACGUCUCUCUCUCAACUUCUCUUCACCCCACGUUCCCUUCAUUCCGCGUCAACAUCCCAACGUCCCAUACGCCCAAAUUUUCUUCUUCGCACAUCCCGUUCGAAACAGCAUCAACAUCUAAAAUCCCACCUUUCACGUGAUUCUUCCCGAGCUUCCCAGCCACAUGAACCUCUUCCCAGCCAAAGGAAAUCACACGCUCAUCCCCGGAUCCCAGCAUUCGGAUUGAUCCCAGCUCACGGUUCAAAGCAACCGUAUCAUUCUUCCUCUCAAACGCCAGCAUCCGAGUAUCUCAACAACCAACUCAUCUUCAUCUCCCCUUCAUUCCGUUCAGCAUCUAUCAAAUCUUAGCAUUCGGAUGAAUCCCCUGCAUCCCGGAACCAAGUUUUCUUUGCAUUCAGCCGAGAUCCCAACAUCCCAGCUCCACAUCACAGCCAUAUCCCUCCUGCGAAUCAAGCAAGUUUCUUCCANNN
rnacentral:lncRNA from 1 species